rnacentral:rRNA from 1 species
CAAUACACUUUGAUGGCGAGCGGCGGACGGGUGAGUAAUGCAUGGGAAUCUGCCCAGUAGCGGGGGACAACCCGGAGAAAUCCGGGCUAAUACCGCAUACGCCCUACGGGGGAAAGCGGGGGACCGAAAGGCCUCGCACUAUUGGAGGAGCCCAUGUCCGAUUAGCUAGUUGGUGAGGUAACGGCUCACCAAGGCAACGAUCGGUAGCUGGUCUGAGAGGACGAUCAGCCACACCGGAACUGAGACACGGUCCGGACUCCUACGGGAGGCAGCAGUGGGGAAUAUUGCGCAAUGGGCGAAAGCCUGACGCAGCGACGCCGCGUGGGGGAUGACGCUUUUCGGAGUGUAAACCCCUUUCGAUCGGGACGAAUGCCUCGCAAGAGGAGUGACGGUACCGGUAGAAGAAGCCCCGGCUAACUACGUGCCAGCAGCCGCGGUAAUACGUAGGGGGCCA